rnacentral:rRNA from 1 species
UACGUAGGGGGCAAGCGUUGUCCGGAUUUAUUGGGCGUAAAGAGCGUGUAGGCGGCCAUACAGGUCUGCUGUGAAAACUCGAGGCUCAACCUCGAGCUGUCGGUGGAAACCGUAUGGCUAGAGUCCGGAAGAGGAGAGUGGAAUUCCCGGUGUAGCGGUGAAAUGCGCAGAUAUCGGGAAGAACACCCGUGGCUAAGGCGGCUCUCUAGUACGGUACUGACGCUGAGACACGAAAGCGUGGGGAGCGAACAGG